GUACCAGGAGAGAGCCUUUGAUUCUGCAGCAGGUAUGACAGUUAGUACCAGGAGAGAGCCUUUGAUUCUGCAGCAGGUAUGACAGUUAGUACCAGGAGAGAGCCUUUGAUUCUGCAGCAGGUAUGACAGUUAGUACCAGGAGAGAGCCUUUGAUUCUGCAGCAGGUAUGACAGUUAGUACCAGGAGAGAGCCUUUGAUUCUGCAGCAGGUAUGACAGUUAGUACCAGGAGAGAGCCUUUGAUUCUGCAGCAGGUAUGACAGUUAGUACCAGGAGAGAGCCUUUGAUUCUGCAACAGGUAUGACAGUUAGUACCAGGAGAGAGCCUUUGAUUCUGCAGCAGGUAUGACAGUUAGUACCAGGAGAGAGCCUUUGAUUCUGCAGCAGGUAUGACAGUUAGUACCAGGAGAGAGCCUUUGAUUCUGCAGCAGGUAUGACAGUUAGUACCAGGAGAGAGCCUUUGAUUCUGCAGCAGGUAUGACAGUUAGUACCAGGAGAGAGCCUUUGAUUCUGCAACAGGUAUGACAGUUAGUACCAGGAGAGAGCCUUUGAUUCUGCAGCAGGUAUGACAGUUAGUACCAGGAGAGAGCCUUUGAUUCUGCAACAGGUAUGACAGUUAGUACCAGGAGAGAGCCUUUGAUUCUGCAACAGGUAUGACAGUUAGUACCAGGAGAGAGCCUUUGAUUCUGCAACAGGUAUGACAGUUAGUACCAGGAGAGAGCCUUUGAUUCUGCAGCAGGUAUGACAGUUAGUACCAGGAGAGAGCCUUUGAUUCUGCAGCAGGUAUGACAGUUAGUACCAGGAGAGAGCCUUUGAUUCUGCAGCAGGUAUGACAGUUAGUACCAGGAGAGAGCCUUUGAUUCUGCAGCAGGUAUGACAGUUAGUACCAGGAGAGAGCCUUUGAUUCUGCAGCAGGUAUGACAGUUAGUACCAGGAGAGAGCCUUUGAUUCUGCAGCAGGUAUGACAGUUAGUACCAGGAGAGAGCCUUUGAUUCUGCAGCAGGUAUGACAGUUAGUACCAGGAGAGAGCCUUUGAUUCUGCAGCAGGUAUGACAGUUAGUACCAGGAGAGAGCCUUUGAUUCUGCAGCAGGUAUGACAGUUAGUACCAGGAGAGAGCCUUUGAUUCUGCAGCAGGUAUGACAGUUAGUACCAGGAGAGAGCCUUUGAUUCUGCAACAGGUAUGACAGUUAGUACCAGGAGAGAGCCUUUGAUUCUGCAGCAGGUAUGACAGUUAGUACCAGGAGAGAGCCUUUGAUUCUGCAACAGGUAUGACAGUUAGUACCAGGAGAGAGCCUUUGAUUCUGCAACAGGUAUGACAGUUAGUACCAGGAGAGAGCCUUUGAUUCUGCAACAGGUAUGACAGUUAGUACCAGGAGAGAGCCUUUGAUUCUGCAGCAGGUAUGACAGUUAGUACCAGGAGAGAGCCUUUGAUUCUGCAGCAGGUAUGACAGUUAGUACCAGGAGAGAGCCUUUGAUUCUGCAGCAGGUAUGACAGUUAGUACCAGGAGAGAGCCUUUGAUUCUGCAGCAGGUAUGACAGUUAGUACCAGGAGAGAGCCUUUGAUUCUGCAGCAGGUAUGACAGUUAGUACCAGGAGAGAGCCUUUGAUUCUGCAGCAGGUAUGACAGUUAGUACCAGGAGAGAGCCUUUGAUUCUGCAGCAGGUAUGACAGUUAGUACCAGGAGAGAGCCUUUGAUUCUGCAGCAGGUAUGACAGUUAGUACCAGGAGAGAGCCUUUGAUUCUGCAGCAGGUAUGACAGUUAGUACCAGGAGAGAGCCUUUGAUUCUGCAGCAGGUAUGACAGUUAGUACCAGGAGAGAGCCUUUGAUUCUGCAGCAGGUAUGACAGUUAGUACCAGGAGAGAGCCUUUGAUUCUGCAGCAGGUAUGACAGUUAGUACCAGGAGAGAGCCUUUGAUUCUGCAGCAGGUAUGACAGUUAGUACCAGGAGAGAGCCUUUGAUUCUGCAGCAGGUAUGACAGUUAGUACCAGGAGAGAGCCUUUGAUUCUGCAGCAGGUAUGACAGUUAGUACCAGGAGAGAGCUACUGGUACUAACUGCUUUCAGCCUUACCAAUGUAUACUGCAAUGUCCCUUGGUGGGAUGAAUAAA